rnacentral:rRNA from 1 species
UGGGGAAUAUUGCACAAUGGAGGGAACUCUGAUGCAGCAACGCCGCGUGCGGGAUGACGGCCUUCGGGUUGUAAACCGCUUUCAGCCAUGACGAAGCUUUUGUGACGGUAGUGGUAGAAGAAGCACCGGCUAACUACGUGCCAGCAGCCGCGGUGAUACGUAGGGUGCGAGCGUUGUCCGGAAUUAUUGGGCGUAAAGAGCUUGUAGGCGGUUUGUCGCGUCGAUAGUGUAAACACGCAGCUUAACUGUGUGCCUGCUGUCGAUACGGGCUGACUAGAGGAGGGUAGGGGAGAAUGGAAUUCCCGGUGGAGCGGUGGAAUGCGCAGAUAUCGGGAGGAACACCAGUGGCGAAGGCGGUUCUCUGGACCUUUCCUGACGCUGAGAAGCGAGAGCGUGGGUAGCAAACAGG